rnacentral:rRNA from 1 species
GUGUCAGCCGCCGCGGUAAGACGAAGGGGGCAAGCGUUGUUCGGAAUUACUGGGCGUAAAGGGCGCGUAGGCGGUCUUGUUAGUCAGGCGUGAAAGCCCUGGGCUUAACCUAGGAUGUGCGCUUGAUACUGCGAGGCUUGAGUGUGGGAGAGGUUGGUGGAAUUCCCAGUGUAGAGGUGAAAUUCGUAGAUAUUGGGAAGAACACCGGUGGCGAAGGCGGCCAACUGGACCACAACUGACGCUGAGGCGCGAAAGCGUGGGGAGCAAACAGGAUUAGAUACCCGCGUAGUCC